CACGUAGGGUGCGAGCGUUGUCCGGAAUUAUUGGGCGUAAAGAGCUCGUAGGCGGUGUGUCGCGUCGGCCGUGAAAGCCUGCAGCUUAACUGUGGGCUUGCGGUCGAUACGGGCAUCACUGGAGUUCGGCAGGGGAGACUGGAAUUCCUGGUGUAGCGGUGAAAUGCGCAGAUAUCAGGAGGAACACCGGUGGCGAAGGCGGGUCUCUGGGCCGAUACUGACGCUGAGGUGCGAAAGCGUGGGGAGCAAACAGG
rnacentral:rRNA from 1 species